AUACGGAGGAUCCGAGCGUUAUCCGGAUUUAUUGGGUUUAAAGGGUGCGCAGGCGGGAGAUUAAGUCGGCGGUGAAAUUUUGCAGCUCAACUUUAAAAGUGCCUUCGAAACUGGGUUCCUUGAGUGUAGAUGAAGUAAGCGGAAUUUUGGGUGUCGCGGGGAAAUGCAUAGAUAUCACGAGGAACUCCGAUUGCGCAGGCAGCUUACUAAACUACUACUGACGCUCAGGCACGAAGGCGUGGGGAUCAAACAGGAUUAGAUACCCUGGUAGUCCACGCAGUAAACGAUGAUUACUAGCUGUUUGCGAUACAAUGUAAGCGGCUGAGCGAAAGCGUUAAGCAAUCCACCUGGGGAGUACGUUCGCAAGAAUGAAACUCAAAUGAAUUGACGGGG
rnacentral:rRNA from 1 species